AGGCCCAGAGACGUGCCUUCCUCUUCUUUCCAGGGUCCUGGCCUGUCUUGUCUGUUGGGCGGGUAUGCUUCCUUCCUGGCCUUCCUUGUGGAGCAUGUCUGGGAGUGUGCUAGGAAAUGAGGGAGGAAAAUAUGUAACUUGAUAUCUGCUCCUUGACCCUGGCUGACCUGGUUAACUCUCUCCAGGAUGGAAGCAAAGCCUGCCCGGGAAACCUUCCAUUGCAGGAACAUCUCGGCCUGAAGCUGUCAUCAGGGAGCAGGAUCUGCUUCCCGGACUCUGAGCAGAACAAUGGGAGCCCCAGCAGGCUGGCGAGGCUGACAAGCCCUAGGACGGUGACCUCUCCGAUCUCCAGAUCGGAAACUCAGAAACGUGUAAGUGCCAGAAUCCGCAUUUGGGAAUCUGUUAUUUCUCCCUCUGCGAGUCAACCUGAUCACCCUGGAAGCCUCACUGUCUCUCAGCCCUUGUUCCCAUUUUUCUUUCCAUGAACACCGCAAUCAGAUACGAGAUUCCAGUAAUGAUGGUUCUUGAAAAUUAAACAAAUCAAAAAGAAAGCCAGCCAAGGUAUGGAGUGGGGGACCUCUAAGUUCCCCUGGAGGAGACACUGGGGCCAGGUUCCGAGGUGCAUUCGGAGCCAGAAUCCCUAAUGGAAUUGAACAAUUAUCCUGAAGCUGCUCUCUGAAAGCCGCGGUUUUCCUAAAACACUGUGCUUGGCGUGCCUGGGCUUCUUGGCACUGGCCCAUGACCCACAGCAGCAAAUCGUUCCCAGGAAGCUAUUGUUAUUUGUGUAUCUGAUAGCAUUCAGCUGAGUACACUGACAGCAACAUUUAGAAAGGAAAAGAAAAAAGAAGCGUAGAGUGAAAAGGACAAAAAGGAGGCUUCCAACAUCCUGGUGGGAACAGAAAACCAGCAAAGCCUCUUUUCCAGCCCUUAUCCUUGUGAGUUUGGACUCUGCAGAACUGUCAUCCCCCAGGCAUAGCUGCAGCUUGUAUGAAGGUGGGCAUCAGGCGCGGAGAUUCAGGACAGUGUGCACCUGCUUUCCUCCAACGGGACCCCCUCUGUUCUUCCCAGGAAUGCCUGUAAACUGCCACUGCCUCUAGGGGCUGCACCAAGUCCCUGUGUACUCCCAGGACACAAUGGAGUGGAAUGGAGUGGCUCUGUUCUGUCAGGGCCUAACAUUCCAAAUGAAUUCAUUCCCUUCUGGGAAAAAAGAACCACCUUGCUCAGAGCACAAUGUUCCCAUGUCUUGGCUUACCUUGAAGCAUUUUUGAUACACCUGUUGGGACAAUGCGUUCUGCCAAGAGAAGGGAAGUAGCAUACUUUGUUCUAUUUUUUACUCUCAAUGGGCUACGUUUCCAUUGUGUUGGUUUCCCUUACAGAAAGUAACACACACAGAAGAGAAGGUUAUAGGAUUCCAUGCUGCUUGGCAAAGGCACAAAAUAUGUGCACAUAUUUACAUGGAAUAUGAGGGUAAACUAGAAAAUUAAGGGUAAUCUAAAAUAGAAAAAAAGAAGAAAACAAUAAGUUAAAAGUAUGAAAAGACAUCCAGAAUGAGCAAGUUACUGAGGUUGUGCCUCAACUUUAGCUUGAGUUUCCUGGCAGCAAAGGUAAAAAGGUGAUCUUACAGCUGGAAAAUCAGUGGGUGAAAACGGAGAUACAGCAACUCUCACAGUGACGGGCUCUUGGCAGUCUGAAGAAGCAUGAACCAGAACUAAGCCUGGUCUCUCAGGAUUUGGUGGAUGUCUAAGUUGCAGGGUUAAGAAGUUGCAGUUCCUUCUUUCAACUCAACCUCUAGCAGUUGGAUACAGAAGCAAUUGUCGAACCUGGGCACCUAAGGGGACAGGACUGUCAGUGUCCUGGAAAUCAUGUUCUUCUCUUUGGUUUUCACCACCUCUUAAUGGCAUAUCUUCUAUAUUUCCUUUAAUGCGAACACAGGUAACGAGUUGGUUAUAACCCUUUUCUCAGGGCCAGGCUGCCAUGCCAUCGCUCCUCCAGAGAGCAAACACGAAACAUGAUCCUAUGGCAAGAACAUACAAUGCCAGGUCCCUGGAUUUAGGUCCUGCUCUGUCAUUGACUGUAUAUUCCCAUAAAGAAGAUUAAAACUC
rnacentral:lncRNA from 1 species